rnacentral:sRNA from 1 species
GUGAGGGUGGUCUGGCUGUGACAUCCAUCACCCCAUGGACCAUCAAGGCUGACACAGUUGAUCUGGUUGGCUAGGCAGGCACGACCUUCUUCCCUCCCUGC